rnacentral:rRNA from 1 species
ACUCCUACGGGAGGCAGCAGUGGGGAAUAUUGCACAAUGGGCGCAAGCCUGAUGCAGCCAUGCCGCGUGUGUGAAGAAGGCCUUCGGGUUGUAAAGCACUUUCAGUCAGGAGGAAAGGUUAGUAGUUAAUACCUGCUAGCUGUGACGUUACUAAACAGAAGAAGCANCGGCUAACUAC